GUAUUUUAGGUGAUCCCAACUCACCAAUGUGCGGCCUGAUGCUACUACACUUGCAUAUAUAAUGUGUACAGGGUUUUUGAUUGUAGCCUUAUAUCCCGUCGCGUUUAAGUUUGCUCUGUAUCAACAAAAUAAUCCAUGUGGGUAGGAGAUCUAAAUUGCAAGAUACAACAGUGAAAAAAGAAAGCCUAGAGGGCUGAUAUUUAUCCCGCCACACGGACCAGGCGACGAAUUUCCAUUUGACGGGGUAGUUCAAGUCUUCAAGCUGAACUCAAGCAGAAACCCUGUUACAGAGAAAGGAGUGCAGUUCAGCCUAGCAACAUGGUCUGUGCAAAACAAAUUGGAUUGGAUUUCAGAUUCCAAAUAUUCUUGCGGGUGCCGACUCCUUAAAUCUUUUUUCGUACCUACCCUUUGAGAAGCCUAGAUGCUGACAUUUUAGUGUUUUAAAAGCGCAAGGUGCAAAAAAAGCGCAAGGGUCAUUUUUGCACCCAAGGUGCAAGCUCACUCUACCUUGUUCUCUAGAAGGUUCCUUUGAUCCAUUCCUCUGUUCAACCUAAGUGCAAAUGUAGAGUACCAGCCUACUUGAAUAACUGGAUGAAAGAUGUACUUUCUACAAUAUCAAUCUACAAUGAUUAAAGAUGAGGAUAUCCUUAGCAACAAGGAUACUAAAAUCUUUGUUGGCAAUCAUCAAAGAUUCAUGUUAUGUAAGUGAAAUCGUUAUCAAUUUAGUUGUUCAUAAAAAAAAAUCGCCUUCAAUUUUGACUUCUAUUCAUCUUCCAUGUGCUGCUCUGGAUACAACUUAUUUGUCAACCUACAAUGUAAGUCCAGCUUUCAACUUGCUCCAAUUUUGCCAUUUUUAAAGGUUUAGUAGAGCUCUUUAAAUUACACAACAAGAAUAUGUUAAUAUUGCCAUCAAUGUUGCUAACGUGUUGAGCGAUUGGAGCUUGCUUGCACGUCAAAGAAAUGUGAAUCAUGAUGGCAAAGGAGUAAGUAGUUGGCACAUGAAGAAGUUUAUGGAGUCAUUUAAGAGAUAUGUCGGUCAUGCUUGAAAUGCUGAUUUGCCGUCAUCCAAGAUAUCGAAAUGUAGAAAGAAGAAAAAAAGAAACAACUGGUCAGCAACUAAAUCCAUCACACCAACUCCUGCUAGCUUCAAUGAUACAGCAGAAGGAUGAGUAAGAUGUAACCUAUUUGUCCAUCAAGUUAUUUGUCUGUAGUAUGAGAGUCAAUGGAGGACCAAGGUGACCAAUAUCAAUUUUGGAAAAAAAAGCAGAUUGAUGUAUCCAUUGAGUUUUGAAUGCAAAAUGAAAUCUUGAGACUUAUGACAUUUAAGUAACAAGGUCGAACCUGGAAUGUGGGCGAUUCCUGUUUACAAUGCCAACCGUGUGAACAACUUAAAAUGUACUUGUCUGAAAUUGGACUUUUCAUGCUCUACACGUUCUCUUUAUUUAUGUUGCAUUUUCAAAAAAUGAUGAAUAUACUGCAGUUCUUCUACACCUAACAUGUCUGGACUUGGACUUUUCAUACUCCGCACCUUCUCUUUACGGUUUAUGCUGCAUUUUCUAGAGAUGCUAAAUAUAUAUACUACAGUUAUUCUUCUACAUCUAAGCAUAUAUAUGAUGUUGGGCAAUUAGCUGUAUUUCCUUUAUGUGCCUAAAAAUUGUUCCAUUAUGAGCUUUAUUCAUUGGACGGUGUCAUUAAUUGCAGGUAUAACAAUUUCUGAAUUGCUUCCAACAUGAGCUACGGAGCCUCAAUCUGGACCACAACCAUAGAUUCCUGCUGCAUUGUGGUCCAAUGCUUGGUUAUCUGCUUUGUCCUGCCCAUCCUUGUCUUGACAGUUACAAUGCCUGGCCGAUAUUCUAAAUUCCACUUCCUUGAAGAGAAAGGUGAGUUGGUUUUCAUUGUUCCGACUAUAAAUGGCAACUGUAGCAUUUCUUGUACAGGAGUGUACCUUAUCAAAGAAACUGCCUGUAAAAGUACUAUUGUAGAUUCCAUUAAAUGGACAGGUCAAUUCUUCAAUCUAGAACAAUCUUAGUGGGCCACCAUUUGAAUUGGCAUUGUUUGAAUGAAUAUCAGCAACUUCCAUCCUACAAUUAAUGGUUGAGGAUGAAGAUUUGAUUUAUUGAUCAAUAGUUACAGA